CAAUACAACGAUACAACUAUGGACUAUCGAUUCACUGACGAUGAACGUGAACAGAUAUACGUUUUCAGUACAAUCAUACAUGUAUGAACCUGUAAGUCAGAGCCAGAGGCAUGCAGGUGCCGAAUCAGUAACUGGAUAAAAAAAAACAUUUUCUGCAUCCGAUGGUGAAGAUGGAAACGAAAUAGAUCUCUAACAGCCUGCCGGCUUCAAAAUCUCUCAUGAAAUAAAAGAUAUUUAGCACAAAGAAGAUUUACCAUGUAAUAGGAGAAACAUAAGAGUUGUGUUGCCAUCAGGUGUUGUUUGCCAAAAAAGGGAACAGUUCUCAGCUGAACAAUUUACAGACUAUAAAUAGCCCUAAUGACCACACAAAGAGUCAAUUUAUAUUAACCAUAUUGAUAAUAAAAUUUUAUCACAUUUA